rnacentral:rRNA from 1 species
GACGAACGCUGGCGGCGUGCUUAACACAUGCAAGUCGAACGGAAAGGCCCUGCUUUUGUGGGGUGCUCGAGUGGCGAACGGGUGAGUAACACGUGAGUAACCUGCCCUUGACUUUGGGAUAACUUCAGGAAACUGGGGCUAAUACCGGAUAGGAGCUCCUGCUGCAUGGUGGGGGUUGGAAAGUUUCGGCGGUUGGGGAUGGACUCGCGGCUUAUCAGCUUGUUGGUGGGGUAGUGGCUUACCAAGGCUUUGACGGGUAGCCGGCCUGAGAGGGUGACCGGCCACAUUGGGACUGAGAUACGGCCCAGACCCCUACGGGAGGCAGCAGUGGGGAAUAUUGCACAGUGGGCGGAAGCCUGAUGCAGCAACGCCGCGUGCGGGAUGACGGCCUUCGGGUUGUAAACCGCUUUCGCCUGUGACGAAGCGUGAGUGACGGUAAUGGGUAAAGAAGCACCGGCUAACUACGUG